rnacentral:rRNA from 1 species
AGAGUUUGAUCAUGGCUCAGGAUGAACGCUAGCUACAGGCUUAACACAUGCAAGUCGAGGGGAAACGACAUCGAAAGCUUGCUUUUGAUGGGCGUCGACCGGCGCACGGGUGAGUAACGCGUAUCCAACCUGCCCACCACUUGGGGAUAACCUUGCGAAAGUAAGACUAAUACCCAAUGAUAUCUCUAGAAGACAUCUGAAAGAGAUUAAAGAUUUAUCGGUGAUGGAUGGGGAUGCGUCUGAUUAGCUUGUUGGCGGGGUAACGGCCGACCAAGGCUACGGAUCCAGUAGGGGUUCUGAGAGGAAGGUCCCCCACAUUGGAACUGAGACACGGUCCAAACUCCUACGGGAGGCA